AAAGAUUUAUUUAUUUUAUUUUAAAAAUAAACGUGGUUCAAUUCACCUAUAUAAACAAAUUGAAAUAAGGAAAACCUUUAGAGAAAGGAAAGUUAACAAUCAGAUAGCAUGAAGUUUUAUAUCUUCUUUGUUUUACUCUUUGUUUUUACUGAACAAAAAGAAAAAUGUAGUAAAGGAUGUCCAUUUAACUAUGAACUGAUUUGUGCUUCAAACGGAAAAAGUUAUGAUAACAGAUGUCUGAUGGAAAUAGAUGCUUGUGAAACCCGAUCCGAGAUUUACUAUGUUCAUAGUGGGCCUUGUGAAAGGAAACCUGAUGACGAAUAAGCGUAAACAAAAGAAUUAAACUCAAUAAAGCUAAUUUCAUAUUUUCAGCAUUUUUUUAAAACUUGAUAUUGUUGUUACUUGUGUUAAAUACGUACGUAUAUUUUAUUCA